CUGUAAGCAUCCAUUUGGCUAGAAGAGCUUCUAUGAGAGCCACAUCAAUAAUCAAAGGAAUGAUAAUAGGCCUGUGGAUUAAAAUUCUAGUUUCUUCAUGCUCUUUUACUCAAUCCAUUUUAACUGUAUCAGAAAUUAAAUAAGUGGAAAUCUUUGAGUGAACAUCAAAAGCCAAAACAUUUCUUUUAAGGACAUAAAUUAUGUUUAAUUUAGUGGAAUACCAGUCCAGGGAUUCAUAAGUGAAGCAUUUAUUCCUAUUUCUCAAA
rnacentral:misc_RNA from 1 species